CUGAGGCUGGCUCAGUGGUACAGCAUUUACUUUGCAUUGAGAAUGCCCUAGGUUCAAUCCCUGACGCCUCCAGA